rnacentral:misc_RNA from 1 species
UUUCCGUAGGUGAACCUGCGGAAGGAUCAUUAAUGAGAACUAAGGGUAGUAGUCUCGGCUAUUACUCUGAACACUCCACCCUUUGUUUAUAUUACCUUUGUUGCUUUAGCAGGCCCGCUCUCGAGCCGCCGGCACCUGCUGGCUAGUGCCUGCUAAAGAACCUAAAACUCUUGUUAAUAAUAUUGUCUGAGUACUAUAUAAUAGUUAAAACUUUCAACAACGGAUCUCUUGGUUCUG